GAUGAAGAACGCAGCGAAAUGCGAUAAGUAGUGUGAAUUGCAGAAUUCAGUGAAUCAUCGAAUCUUUGAACGCACAUUGCGCCCCUUGGUAUCCCGAGGGGCAUGCCUGUUCGAGCGUCAUUUCACCACUCAAGCCUGGCUUGGUGUUGGGCGACGUCCCCUUUGGGGACGCGCCUCGAAACGCUCGGCGGCGUGGCACCGGCUUUAAGCGUAGCAGAAUCUUUCGCUUUGGAAGUCGGGGCCCCGUCUGCCGGAAGACCUACUCGCAAGGUUGACCUCGGAUCAGGCAGGGAUACCCGCUGAACUUAAGCAUGUCAAUAAGCGGAGGA
rnacentral:misc_RNA from 1 species